rnacentral:rRNA from 1 species
AUUGAACGCUGGCGGCAGGCCUAACACAUGCAAGUCGAACGAUAACAGGAAGAAGCUUGCUUCUUUGCUGACGAGUGGCGGACGGGUGUGAAAUGUCUGGGAAACUGCCUGAUGGAGGGGGAAAACUACUGGAAACGGUAGCUAAUACCGCAUAACGUCGCAAGACCAAAGAGGGGGACCUUAGGGCCUCUUGCCAUCGGAUGUGCCCAGAUGGGAUUAGCUAGUAGGUGGGGUAACGGCUCACCGAGGCGACGAUCCCUAGCUGGUCUGAGAGGGUGACCAGCCACACUGGAACUGAGACACGGUCCAGACUCCUACGGGAGGCAGCAGUAGGGAAUAUUGCACAAUGGGCGCAAGCCUGAUGCAGCCAUGCCGCGUGUAUGAAGAAGGCCUUCGGGUUGUAAAGUACUUUCAGCGGGGAGGAAGAGAGGAAUGUUAAUACCUGCGCUCAUUGACGUUACCCGCAGAAGAAGCACCGGCUAACUCCGUG